GUUCCCGUGGUGUAGUGGUUAUCAUAUUGCUCUUAUAAUUACCCUGCCUCGGCGGAGUAUUGUUAUGCAAAGGUCGCGAGUUCAAUCCUCGCCGGGAACA